rnacentral:rRNA from 1 species
CUCGAAGGACGAACGCUGGCGGCAGGCCUAAUACAUGCAAGUCGAACGGUAACAUAAAAGAAGCUUGCUUCUUUUGAUGACGAGUGGCGGACGGGUGAGUAAUAUUUGGGAAACUACCUGAUAGAGGGGGACAACAGUUGGAAACGACUGCUAAUACCGCAUAAAGCCUGAGGGUGAAAGCAGCAAUGCGCUAUCAGAUGUGCCCAAACGGGAUUAGCUAGUAGGUGAGGUAAAGGCUCACCUAGGCGACGAUCUCUAGCUGGUCUGAGAGGAUGAUCAGCCACAUUGGGACUGAGACACGGCCCAGACUCCUACGGGAGGCAGCAGUAGGGAAUAUUGCACAAUGGAGGAGACUCUGAUGCAGCCAUGCCGCGUGUGUGAAGAAGGCCUUCGGGUUGUAAAGCACUUUCGGAGGGGAGGAAAAGAUGACGUUACCCUCAGAAGAAGCACCGGCUAACUCCGUG